UCUUGCAAGCUUUUAAUAAUCAUCUCUGUUUAAGUUCCCUUUCUUGGGCAUUUGUUCACGAUCAGGAUGUUGACCAGAAAAUAAAAAAUGCUGAUACCUUUUCCCCGAGGAAGGCAAUUGGGCUGAUCAGAAUCUUCGAGAAGGUCCUGGGAGUGGAACUUAGACCAAAUUGCAUAUCUUGAACCUUCUGUGGUAACCAGCGAUGGGGAUGUGAUAAGACGCAUCUUGAAGGUCUAUAGAUGUUAACC